rnacentral:rRNA from 1 species
GACGAACGCUGGCGGCGUGCUUAACACAUGCAAGUCGAACGGAAAGGCCCUGCUUUUGUGGGGUGCUCGAGUGGCGAACGGGUGAGUAACACGUGAGUAACCUGCCCUUGACUUUGGGAUAACUUCAGGAAACUGGGGCUAAUACCGGAUAGGAGCUCCUGCUGCAUGGUGGGGGUUGGAAAGUUUCGGCGGUUGGGGAUGGACUCGCGGCUUAUCAGCUUGUUGGUGGGGUAGUGGCUUACCAAGGCUUUGACGGGUAGCCGGCCUGAGAGGGUGACCGGCCACAUUGGGACUGAGAUACGGCCCAGACUCCUACGGGAGGCAGCAGUGGGGAAUAUGGCACAAUGGGCGGAAGCCUGAUGCAGCAACGCCGCGUGCGGGAUGACGGCCUUCGGGUUGUGAACCGCUUUCGCCUGUGACGAAGCGUGAGUGACGGUAAUGGGUAAAGAAGCACCGGCUAACUACGUG